rnacentral:rRNA from 1 species
CCCUUAACUCUGGGAUAAGCCUGGGAAACUGGGUCUAAUACUGGAUAUUUACUUNUCACCGCAUGGUGGUUGGUGGAAAGCUUUAUUGUGGUUUUGGAUGGACUCGCGGCCUAUCAGCUUGUUGGUGAGGUAAUGGCUCACCAAGGCGACGACGGGUAGCCGGCCUGAGAGGGUGACCGGCCACACUGGGACUGAGACACGGCCCAGACUCCUACGGGAGGCAGCAGUGGGGAAUAUUGCACAAUGGGCGCAAGCCUGAUGCAGCGACGCCGCGUGAGGGAUGAAUGCCUUCGGGUUGUAAACCUCUUUCAGUAGGGAAGAAGCCUUUUCGUAAGGUGACGGUACUUGCAGAAGAAGCGCCGGCUAACUACGUGCCAGCAGCCGCGGUAAUACGUAGGGCGCAAGCGUUAUCCGGAAUUAUUGGGCGUAAAGAGCUCGUAGGCGGUUUGUCGCGUCUGCCGUGAAAGUCCGGGGCUCAACUCCGGA